rnacentral:rRNA from 1 species
ACGUAGGUGGCAAGCGUUAUCCGGAAUUAUUGGGUGUAAAGGGUGUGUAGGCGGGAUUGCAAGUCAGACGUGAAAAUUAUGGGCUCAACCCAUAACCUGCGUUUGAAACUGCAGUUCUUGAGAGUGGGAGAGGUAAGUGGAAUUCCCGGUGUAGCGGUGGAAUGCGUAGAUAUCGGGAGGAACACCAGUGGCGAAGGCGACUUACUGGACCACAACUGACGCUGAGACACGAAAGCGUGGGGAGCAAACAG